AUGACCGACGCGGGUCAACGCGUAGUGCCUGUUCUUAUCAGUUACCUGAUACCUGAUACGGGUUGUAUUUGGACCUAAGAUAUCAAACUUAUUUUUGCCAGUUUGUGGAGUGCUUAAAGCCUGCCUCACCUCCGCCGCGGGUCGGCCCGGUAUUGCACUUUCUUCGUGAUCGGCCCACGUAGG